AACGAACGCUGGCGGCAGGCCUAACACAUGCAAGUCGAGCGAACCCUUCGGGGUUAGCGGCGGACGGGUUAGUAACGCGUGGGAAUAUACCCUUUGGUACGGAAUAGCCUCGGGAAACUGAGAGUAAUACCGUAUGUGCCCUUCGGGGGAAAGAUUUAUCGCCAAAGGAUUAGCCCGCGUUGGAUUAGAUAGUUGGUGGGGUAAUGGCCUACCAAGUCUACGAUCCAUAGCUGGUUUGAGAGGAUGAUCAGCAACACUGGGACUGAGACACGGCCCAGACUCCUACGGGAGGCAGCAGUGGGGAAUCUUAGACAAUGGGCGCAAGCCUGAUCUAGCCAUGCCGCGUGGACGAUGAAGGCCUUAGGGUUGUAAAGUCCUUUUCAGAUGGGAAGAUAAUGACGGUACCAUCAGAAGAAGCCCCGGCUAACUCCGUGCCAGCAGCCGCGGUAAUGUACAGUGU
rnacentral:rRNA from 1 species